AUUGAACGCUAGCGGGAUGCUUUACACAUGCAAGUCGAACGGCAGCGCGGACUUCGGUCUGGCUGCGAGUGGCGAACGGGUGAGUAAUGUAACGGAACGGGCCCAGUAGCGGGGGAUAACUACGCGAAAUCGUAGCUAAUACCGCAUACGCCCUACGGGGGAAAGCAGGGGAUCGUAAGACCUUGCACUAUUGGAGCGGGCGAUAUCGGAUUAGCUAGUUGGUGAGGGAACGGCUCACCAAGGCGACGAUCCGUAGCUGGUUUGAGAGGACGACCAGCCACACUGGGACUGAGACACGGCCCAGACUCCUACGGGAGGCAGCAGUGGGGAAUUUUGGACAAUGGGGGCAACCCUGAUCCAGCCAUCCCGCGUGUGCGAUGAAGGCCUUCGGGUUGUAAAGCACUUUUGGCAGGAAAGAAGCGUCGCGGGCUAAUACCCCGUGGAACUGACGGUACCUGCAGAAUAAGCACCGGCUAACUACGUG
rnacentral:rRNA from 1 species